AGUGAAUGAUUCCCAUCUGUCAGCAACAAUGGGGCCACAUUAUUCAUUGUUCUGGCAGUCCUGUACCCUACGGGUGUUGGGAAUAGGCCUCCCCUUCAGAGAUCUCUGGUUGUAGAUGAGGAAACAGAGGCAUUUAAUUGAACUAAGCCUAAGUGACUUGUCUCAAAGAAGUAAGCAGCCUGAGUUCGGUAGGUACAGAUAAACCAUGGCAGAGAAGUCAUCACAUCCUAUCCCCUACCCCACCACCACCCCAUGGAAAGAUGUUCCUGCUCCUCCAGGAGAAACCCUCUACUUCACCAGCAGAGUCCCUUUGAAUUCCUGAAUUUAUAAAUUUGAGAAAACCUUCAGAACAUGAUAUAUUCUUGCAGAAUGGUCUGUGGGACAAGAAGAGUGAUUGACAACUGCAGGAAUUACAUCUGAGGUUUAGUCCUGCAGGAAAAGGGGAUACAAAUUGCCUGCAAAUUAUCCACAAGUCCCUGAUGAGCCUGAGCAGAAAAUUUAAGAGGCUUCAGUCUUUCUUCAACAAACAUGUUCACGUGUCUCCCUUUACUAUAACAUACAAACACCCAAGAGAAAUUGUCCCCGUGAAAACAUUACUUUCUUUUUUAUCCUUGUCAAAUGUGUUAAUAGUAAAUGUGUAAAUGCCAAUUAAUAGUCUUUAUCCUGUGCCAAUAGUGUUCCGUGUAUGAUUCAGAACA